ACCAUCACCUACACAAUUACACGCUAUCUCCUAGCGGGAGAACUUCCCGGCAGAGGCAGCAAACCCCGGGAGCCCGGCAGGAGGGCUCAGGGGAAGCACAGCUUCCCCCGCACCCCUUGUGCCCGGAGAACCCGAGCAGGGUGCGGGCUCCAGGGGACUGGCAGAAGGAGGGUCCCCACCUCAGCGAGCGGCUUCACCUCCGCCAGACAAUGGCACUAAGCAGAGAAAGCUAUGGGGCAAAGAGAUUCUUCACCCCUGGUGCAGGUGGAAGACCAAACUUCAGUCCUGGGUGCCAGUGAAUAGCUGCUGCAGGCUGAGCAGAUGUUUCCAGUGAGCUGUGUGUGGCGACACACAGCCUCCCCCCACCAUCACCCAGGCAGCUGUGGUUGAUUGAGAACCCAGAGAGAUGGCAGUGCCAUCGAGGCAGCCUUCCCCACCAUGUGUGUCAGCAGCAAGGGUCACCUGCCCCUUACCUUGGGGAAAGCCUCCUUCCUGCACAGAGCCAGGCUGGAAUAAUGACUACUGCUUGAAAGACAAGCAUUUUGAGCAACUGGGGAACAGGGGAUUAGAGAGAAAACGAGUGCCCUGGCUGCCCCUCUGCAAACCCCAUGCCUGGUGCUGUGUCCUCACUGCCUGUCCUGCAGCAGGGCACUUCCCUCUCUCCUUGGCAGAACUGUGGAUGCCUGCAGUGGUAAAGCCUGUUUUCCCUAAACACAGAAGGGAAACAAAAGAGAGAUUUCCCAGUCACUCUUUCAGGAUUGCUUCCCCUAAAACUCUCUAAAGCAGUGCUACAAGCCCUUCUUUGAUGUUUGCUUACAUCCUCCUUUAUCUGCUUCUGUGACACUUUUGCGGCUUUUCUGCCCAAAAUGAUGCAGUUCCCUCCCUGCUCUGCAGUGGCCUCCUGUGCUUGCACUUAGUUACUCUCUCCUCUGGUCACACCUCUCCUGACCCACUGUGUGCACCGUUUGCAAUUUGGAUAGCAGCUCCUAUCAUUUCAGCUGUAUGUUUCAUAAAGGGACUCUGUAUGGGGGGUUUUAUAUGUAUCUUGAAAGAGAGUAGCUUUUAACAACAGCUUUUGCUGACCUCUCUGCUGCAUCCAAUUCAUUUUCAUAUAACUCAUCUAGAAGGACUAAAAUCUAUACAAAAUAUCACAUGCUAUCCAUUCCUGAACAUUUUUGCCUAAGGUUUUCUGUUACUUUGAGGUUUUUUUUCUCAUGUAGGGUCAGGAAUGGCACUACUGAGAGAGGGUUUAUAGAUAUUGUGCUAUUUGUAUUAUACUACAAAUCAAACGGGGGAAAGGAGGGUAGAGGGAGAGAGAAUGAGUAAAAACUCUUUUUUUUUUUUCCAAAUCAGCCUGUAUUGAAAAGGCAAUUAUUAUUUCAGGGUAGUCUCCUUCUCUUAGACCUCUCUAUCAAACUUUUCCUAUACACAUUCCUCCUCAUUUGGUUAGCAUUCAUUACUAUGAGCCUGAUCACAGACUUCAUGGUGCUCCUUGGAGAAAUUCAUGCCCCCAUCCCAUGACAUCUCCUUGAUCACCUGACUCUGCACUGGACUACAACUGGCAAUGCUUUUUUCUGACACAUAUGCAGAGCUGAUGGCACCAAAAUCUUCAUAGCUUGUCACAGCCUGGAUAGGUUGAUAUUUAAAAAAAUAAAAGGAAAUAAAAAAAAGGGGGAGCGAAAUGACCAAGCAACUCUUCAGGCAGCCAAAAGAUUUCAUUUCAGUAUUGUCAAAAUGAAACAUUCAGAGCAAUUUUUCAUUUCUUUCUAAGCCAGAAGGUCUUAAAUCCUCAUAGAUGGAAUAAAAAAAAUGAAAUACAUGGCUUUGCCUCUUUGCUUUGCCAUGUUUUAAGUUA